rnacentral:rRNA from 1 species
GAUGAACGCUGGCGGCGUGCCUAAUACAUGCAAGUCGAGCGAACAGAUGAGGAGCUUGCUCCUCUGACGUUAGCGGCGGACGGGUGAGUAACACGUGGAUAACCUACCUAUAAGACUGGGAUAACUUCGGGAAACCGGAGCUACUACCGGAUAAUAUAUUGAACCGCAUGGUUCAAUAGUGAAAGACGGUUUUGCUGCCACUUAUAGAUGGAUCCGCGCCGCAUUAGCUAGUUGGUAAGGUAACGGCUUACCAAGGCAACGAUGCGUAGCCGACCUGAGAGGGUGAUCGGCCACACUGGAACUGAGACACGGUCCAGACUCCUACGGGAGGCAGCAGUAGGGAAUCUUCCGCAAUGGGCGAAAGCCUGACGGAGCAACGCCGCGUGAGUGAUGAAGGUCUUCGGAUCGUAAAACUCUGUUAUUAGGGAAGAACAAAUGUGUAAGUAACUAUGCACGUCUUGACGGUACCUAAUCAGAAAGCCACGGCUAACUACGUG